UUUUCAGAAGUUUAAUUUGUAAAUGGCUUAAUUUCACUAAGCAGACUGGGUCGCCCCCCUGAAAAA
rnacentral:tRNA from 1 species